AUGCCAGCAGGAUGACCAAGUGACAGAAACUUUCAUGUGUAAUAGCCUUAAAAAUUUAUGAUCGUCCUAAUGCUUUUAGCCUUCUGCUUCAGCAUGGUUUUAAGACUGGAGGACAGGGAUGUCACAGAGGUCUGGAAAACUAUUGCUAACUAGGAUGCACUCGCAUCUGAACACCUGCUCCUGCACGGUUUUAAGGAAGAUGAGAUGGAGAGAUACAACAUACAUGAAGAAACAUGUGUCCGUUACAUAAAGGUCUGUGUGUGUAACCUAAAGAGGGAUUCAGUUAACUUUUGAAGGAGCAAAUAUUUCGGCUCCAUCUGAUGGCACAGACUGGAAAAGACAACAGCUACCACACCUUCGUCCUCCUUAGUAAUCAGCCCAAGAUCAGUCAAUGAGAAUUUCAGUAUUGAAACAACCAACUGUGGUGUGGUCUGAAAGGACAGAUGCUGAGGAAGCUUUGCCCAUAGGAAGGUCCCAGCCAAGGUAGUGGCAACUAAGCCAAGAAAUACUUAGGGAAUCGCUUUCUGGAAAUACCAGAAUUUCCAGAUCAAUACAUGAAAAGCAGCAUGAGCUUUGGAGGAAGGAAGUGUCUCAGAUGGAUUUUCGGCCUCCCGUUUUCCAAAACAUUUGAUGGAAUGUGAAGGUGCAGAAGAUUUGCAAGAGGUGGAAUGGAACACUGCUGUCUCAGGGAAUCUAAAGUGCCUCCACCUGAUGAUCCAGACUGGACAAUUGUACAUGUCCUACUGGUAAACAAGCUAAGAACAGUCCACAUCCUGAGGGUUGGAGCGGCAUCGGUCAUACCACCACCAAUGUCUCAAUGGAAUUGGUUGACCGCAUUCUGACUGGAGAUAAGGAUGAAGGAAUCUACGAUGUCAUUACAAGAACAAGCAAUCUAAGGAUACAAGCACCUCCUCUAGAAAACGAGGUAAUUGAAGCUGCUGGAGGACCAUGACAUGACUUCCUCGACGUAAACAAGCUGGGCAUGGACAAGGAUCACAUCAGCCAAGAGUUACAAGUCUAAAUUUCUGUGGAUUUCAACAACUGUGGAUUUCAUUGGGAUCGGCUCAUCACGAUAGGACCCCUACCAUUCUUACUGGAAAAGGCAUCAUCUAUGGUUGAUGAUUGAGGGUGUCUACAGUUUCUUUGCUUGAACCAGUGGGAGCCAGAAAAUUCAAGGUGUGGUCACAGUGGAUAGCAUAAUCCCAAUAGAUGUCCAGAACUGGAAUUUGAUGAAAUCGUUUGUCUCACUUUGCAAUGUCCUCCAUGGCUCAUAAUGGACCAUUUCAUUGUUAUAUGUCUUUUAGUGACUCUCGUUGGUUGACCAGUAAUUAUGUGCAGACUUAAAUUUUGCUUUGAAGCAAUAUCACUGCUACACUUGUGAAGCAGUGGCAGUGUUCAGGUCUUGCCUGCCUCGAUGACAAAUCUGCAUACCAGUAAUUAUGUGCAGACUUGGCUCUUUUUUUUGGAGCAGUACAGUUGCAAGAUAAAACCUGUUUGUAAUUUUAUAAAUCAGUUGCUCAUUAAGGGCUUACGAAGGUUUUGAUGCCUUGCUGGCUUAUCUGCAUACCAGUAAAUAUGUGCAGAUUCAUUUCUUGCUUUGAAGCAAUAUCGUUGCUACACUCCUAAAGCAGUGACAAUGUCCAGGUCUGUUCUGCCUCGCAGGCAAAUCUGCAUACCAGUAAUUAGAGAUUGUAGGACUGGGUCCAUUGAAUGUAACAAAAAUAAUCGAUGCCUAUUUACAAAUGAAAUGAAGAGUCUGCAUUUUGAUGCAACUCCAUAUAACUGUCAGGUGAUUUCGCUCUGAACUUGUGACACUCUGAUCGAACGGUUAAUUCUUUCACAUCUUUUGUAAACUAGUGUUGCUUGUUACAUGUUGCAUUCAAUGGCUCAUUUGAGGAUAGUUUCUGUGAUUCUACUUGACCAUGAGCAGGCCCAUUUUGACCUAUAACUGUGUAGUUUGUGCUCUGUAGUAUGUGAUUUGAAAAGUUGUAAAUCUGGUUAUUGGAGUAAAGAGUGUACAAUGGAAUAUCCACGGGAUACACUAAUCUGAGAGCCAAGAGCCAAGACUCCGUUAAAGAGCCAAUUAAGUGCCACCAGAUGAGCCACAAGCCAAAGAAAAGGAAUAGGCUUGAAUGAAUAUAAUUAUUAUCUUUGGGAAUCCUAAGCCUACAGGUACUCUACUUGAUAAAAAAUGGAUUUAUUUUGUAACCGUUUAUGACGUCGUAAGACAUCGCCGGCUGGAUAGCGGUAUUGUUAACAGUCUACCAUGCCAAGAUUUUUGAUCAUACUGUUGUACAUUGAGUCUGCACUUCACACCCUGCUUACUCACACGUGUUUGUCAUUCCUGCCGUAUCAUGUAGCCUUGUGCAAAUAGUGCAAUCAAAAUUGUUUUAAAAAGGCAUAUUGCUCAAAUUUGUGAAUUCUUAAUUGAAAUUUGCCAAUUCAAGCAAUGAGAUAGCGUAGUGAUACACUAUCACUAGGGCCUA